GAACUCUGGAGAAUCCCAUUCAGUUGGGUGCCGAAGGUGCAAGGCGUGCGAGCGCCGAAUCUCUCAGGCAAAAGGACGGAGCAG
rnacentral:ncRNA from 1 species